UAGCAGUGAGGAAUAUUGGUCAAUAGCCUAACGGCUGAACCAGCAACUUGGAGGAAUGUAUAACGUAAGUUUGUUGUAUAAAUUAUUAGUUUAUGCAGCUUUGGCCCUGCUAAGUAAAGUUCUAAGUAGAAUGAUGAUAAUGACGUUUUCUAUCGAAAAAAAUAGUCUUGACCAAAUCACGUGCCAGCAGUCGCGGUAAUACGUGGAAGACUAGUGUUAUUCAUAAUUAAUUGGUUUAAAGGGUACCUAGACGGUUUAUACAGCCCAAAAUGGAACUAAUAAACUAGAGUUUAAUGCGAGGGGGGGAGUACUAAAGAGUGUAGAGAUGAAAUUCUGUCAUACCUGCCUUGGAACAGGUAACAGCGAAAGCAACCUCUUAUGUAAAAACUGACGUUGAAGGACGAAGGA
rnacentral:rRNA from 1 species